rnacentral:rRNA from 1 species
CCUACGGGAGGCAGCAGCGAGGAAUCUUGGGCAAUGGGCGAAAGCCUGACCCAGCAACACCGCGUGGGGGAUGAAGGCCCUCGGGUCGUAAACCCCUUUUGUCGGGGAAGAUGAUGACGGUACCCGACGAAUAAGCCUCGGCUAACUACGUGCCAGCAGCCGCGGUAAUACGUAGGAGGCGAGCGUUGUCCGGAUUUACUGGGCGUAAAGAGCGCGUAGGCGGCCGGUUAAGUCCGAGGUGAAAUCUCCCGGCCUAACUGGGAGGGGACCUCGGAUACUGGCGGGCUGGAGUGUGGCAGAGGGGGGUGGAAUUCCCGGUGUAGUGGUAAAAUGCGUAGAUAUCGGGAGGAGCACCAGUGGCGAGGGCGGCCUCCGGGGCCGUAACUGACGCUGAGGCGCGAAAGCGUGGGGAGCGAACCGGAUUAGAUACCGGGGUAGU